rnacentral:rRNA from 1 species
AUUGAACGCUGGCGGCAGGCCUAACACAUGCAAGUCGAGCGGAUGAGUGGAGCUUGCUCCAUGAUUCAGCGGCGGACGGGUGAGUAAUGCCUAGGAAUCUGCCUGGUAGUGGGGGACAACGUUUCGCAAGGAACGCUAAUACCGCAUACGUCCUACGGGAGAAAGUGGGGGAUCUUCGGACCACACGCUAUCAGAUGAGCCUAGGUCGGAUUAGCUAGUUGGUGAGGUAAAGGCUCACCAAGGCGACGAUCCGUAACUGGUCUGAGAGGAUGAUCAGUCACACUGGAACUGAGAGACGGUCCAGACUCCUACGGGAGGCAGCAGUGGGGAAUAUUGGACAAUGGGCGAAAGCCUGAUCCAGCCAUGCCGCGUGUGUGAAGAAGGUCUUCGGAUUGAAAAGCACUUUAAGUUGGGAGGAAGGGCAGUAAGUUAAUACCUUGCUGUUUUGACGUUACCAACAGAAUAAGCACCGGCUAACUGCGUGCCAGCAGCCGCCGUAAAAC